AAUAAUCUCGGGAAACUGAGCAUAAUUCUUGAUAGAUCAUAAUGCCUGGAAUGGUUUAUGGUUAAAAUGAUUCUUCGCCAUAGGAUGGGACUGCGGCCUAUCAGCUUGUUGGUGAGGUAAUGGCCCACCAAGGCGAUUACAGGUACGGGCUCUGAGAGGAGAAGCCCGGAGAUGGGUACUGAGACAAGGACCCAGGCCCUAUGGGGCGCAGCAGGCGAGAAAACUUUGCAAUGUGCGAAAGCACGACAAGGUUAGUCCGAGUGAUUUCUGCUAAAGAGAUCUUUUGCUAGUUAUAAAACCACUAGUGAAUAAGGGGUGGGCAAGUUCUGGUGUCAGCCGCCGCGGUAAAACCAGCACCUCAAGUGGUCAGGAUGAUUAUUGGGCCUAAAGCAUCCGUAGCCGGCUCUGUAAGUUUUCGGUUAAAUCUAUACGCUCAACGUAUGGGCUGCCGAAAAUACUGUAGAGAUAGGGAGUGGGAGAGGUAGACGGUACUCGGUAGGAAGGGGUAAAAUCCUUUGAUC
rnacentral:rRNA from 1 species